rnacentral:sRNA from 1 species
CCGUGGACAUUUUGGCUCAAG